rnacentral:lncRNA from 1 species
GGGGGAGCUGCUGGGAUCAGACAGGGGAUGUGCUUCCUGGGGGUGCAGCUGGCUGGGGUCACCCUUGCCGGGGUCUCUCCCACCCUUCCUGGGGCCUCUUCCAUCCUUCCUGUGGUUCUUUCCCACUUCCUGGGGUCUCUCCCACCCUUCCUGGGUCUUUCCCACUCUUACUGGGAUACUUCCCUACCCUUGCUGGGGUCCUUUCCUGCUUUCUGGGGUCUCUCCCACUUUUUCUGGGGUUCUUCCCUAAUCUUGUUGGAGUCUCUCCCCACACUUUCUGGGAUCCUUCUCUACCCUUGUUGGGUCCUUCCCUCCCUUUUUGGGGCCUUUCCCACCCCUCCUGUGAUCCUUUCCCAAUUGCUGGGGUCUUUCCCACCCUUCCUGUAGUUUUUUCCCACUUACUGGGGUCUCUUCCACCUUUCCCAGGAUCUCUCCCCGCUCUUGCUGGGGUCCUUCCCUACUCUUUCCUGGGGUCUCUCCCACUCUUUCCUGGGUUUCUCCCACCCUUCCUGGGGUCUCUUUUUACCUUUCCUGGGGUCUCUCCCACUCUUUUUGUGGUCCUUUCCCACUUCUUGGUGUCUCUCUCACCCUUCCUGGGGUCUCUUUUACCUUUCCUGGGGUCUCUUUUACCUUUCCUGGGGUCUCUCCCACCCUUUCUGUGGUCCUUUCCCGUUUCUUGGUGUCUCUCUCACCCUUCCUGGGUCUCUCCCUCCCUGUCUGGGUUCUCUCCCACGGGCCGAGCCGCACUGAGGGUCCCCUUUCCUGGAAUUCCCCCCCCCCCAACAAUCCACGCAAAUCCCAUGGUAAGCCUGUGGGAAUUUCCUCACCACCGCAGCAGCAGCAGCAGCAGCAGGAGCAGCACAGACACCACAGCACAGGGACACAGGGACACGGGGACACGGGGACACAGGGACACGGGGACACAGGGACACGGGGACACGGACAUGCUACCGGGGCACACGGGGAUGGGACGGGAACACGCACAUUCCAGAGCGGGCCCACUGCCCGUUCCCGGCCCCGGGGGAGCCCUGGGAAGGCCGGGGGGGCAGGGGGGGAGCGGGAGGACAGGUGAUUGCUAUGGAAUGGGAACAUGCUCACUUACACAACUCGCCCACCCUCCGGAGGCCAGAGGCGGUUCUAGACAGAGCAGCGCGGACAUGCAGAUGGAGAGCAGGAAGAGAGGCAAUGAGAGAGAAUGUUGUUAGCUCCGGUCCGGGCAGCUCCUCAGGGAGAGGG